rnacentral:lncRNA from 1 species
UUGGGCCGCUCCCACGGCAUAUGGAGGUUCCCAGGCUAGGGGUUGAAUCGGAGCUGUAGCCGCCGGCCUACGCCAGAGCCACAGCAACGCGGGAUCCGAGCCGCGUCUGCAACCUACACCACAGCUCACGGCAACGCCGGAUCGUUAACCCACUGAGCAAGGGCAGGGACCGAACCCGCAACCUCAUGGUUCCUAGUCGGAUUCGUUAACCACUGCGCCACAACGGGAACUCCCCUAUCAUUUUUUUUAUUAGAAUCUACAUUAUGUUACUUGAAGCGAAAGGCAACAUCCUAAGUGAUACAGCAUCAUAGGCUUUUUAUUAGUAAUCCGGCAGAUCCAGCAAACGUAUUCCCAAACUUUAAUCCAAAUUUCUUUAGACCGCUGCCAAUGCUUGGAUGCUCCUUCAAAGUAUAGUGAGAGCCGCACAAGGCAGGCAUUGUCAGCCCUGAAGACAACUGUACAAGACAACCUCGAGAUGUUUCAAACUACGGUGAUUCCAUGACUGAGUGGCAGAAUAAACGCAACAACCCGCAUUUGGUGAUAAUAUUUAGUCAAAAAAGUCAUUUAUUUUGAGUCCGUCAUAAAUGUAAGUAAAACCAAAUGCUGAUUAAAGCCAUAGUAGGAAAAAUCUAUGAAUAUAAUCAUUAAUUACCUUCUUAGUUUUCGUUCAGCUGUCAGGAAAAAUGUAUUAGCUUAAAACCAUAUGUGAGGGUUGUUGGGCUAAAUUUGGACUCUGGUUUAUUUUCAUUCUAUCUCCUAGCAAGUGUUGAAAAUCAUUUUUGGACGACUUUCCAAAAUAUAACCUGUCUUUUAAGUUUUCAACAGGAAAUUGAAAUUUCACUCAAUGCAGCUCAGGUGAUGUUUUUCUUGAUUUUUCCAACAGUUUGGUCCUAACCUGGUGACUCUUUUUUUAUUAGUGCAGACACUGGAUUGUGUAGUCACGGAUGGUCUGGGAAAGAGCAAACAAGGAACAUCAAGGCUCUAUCACUCCACUUUCCCACCAGAGGUCCUCGCCAGGGAGUCAUCUUUCAAAUAAGAAAAUAAGAAAACUUACAGUUCUGAUGACAAAGCACACCCUUAAACUCCAGAUGAGGCAGAGUCCUAUCUAAAUAUUCAGUCAACCAGAGGAAGUAUCAGAGUAUUCAUCUGCUCUCAAGCGGGGGAAGAAUGGACACAAAAUUAAAAGAAACUUUGAUAGAACAUAAGAAAUAUCACAGCACUAAAAUAUUUAUACUUUACGAGCUCCCCUGUGGCUCAGUCGGUUAAGGAUCUGGCAUUUUCACUGCCGUGGCUCUGGUUCCUACAGUGGCGAGGGUUAGAUCCCUGGCCUGGGAACUUCCACAUGACAUGGGUACAGCCCAAAACAAAAAACAAAGAACCAGGCGAGGCCAUGAGUAUCAAUUUUAGCUGAGGAGAAAAAAAGCAAAAUUCAAGCUACCAAAUAGCAUUUACCUAACAACUGCCAAAAAUUGGGAGAGCACAGUGAACAUGGAGCCCCACCACUGAACAGCUGAUAAUAAAAAAUUAAGAUAUACGAAGUUUACCUAAAUUAUACAGGCAGCUAUUGGCAGAAGUAAAAAAUAAUAAAAUCAGCUACAAUGGAGUAUCAGAAGAAAUGAGGACACAAGUGAAAAUAUAUUAACUCUCACUGUUAUAAACAGCAGUCAAAAGCUACUGCCUAAAGAAACAAUGGAUUCAAUGUAUACAGUUAUGGUUCUAAAAACAAGCCCUAGGGGAAAAACCAAAGAAAGGAAUUCAAAUUAUCAGAAAAAACACCUACGAAUACAUGUAACAAAAAGGUUAGAAGAAAGUUUUAAAAGGGACACCACCUCUACCAAGAAGAUGCUCUCCCUCCCUGCUGGAAACUCAGUCCUUUUCUCUCCCUCUUUAUACCCCUUUGAUUCUCAAUCAGUGAGAAUCUAUCACGUUUAAUACAACAGGUUCCCUGUCCUUUGCGUCAUAAUCACCACAUCCAGCAUUAGACACAGAUCAGCCAUCCAUGUGAGAUCUCAGAACAGGCCUGCAUCAAUGCUCCGGUUAACCCAAGAACUUUUUCGGCUGCCAAGCUUUUAAAAAAACAAACAAAAAUCCACUUUUUUAAAUUAUAGUUGAUUUACGGCAGGGUGCUCCUUUCUGCUGCACAGCAAAGUGACCCCGUCAUACGUAUAUGGGCAUUCCUUUCCUUAUAUCAUCUUCCAUCAGGCUCUAUCCCGAGACUGGGCGCGGUUCCCGAUGCUGUGCAGCAGGAUCUCAUGGCAUAUCCGUUCUAGAGGCAAUAAUCUGCAGCCACUAACCCCAACUCCCCAUCAGUCCCUCACCCCUUGGUGCCUAGUUCUUAAGUUAGGUCUCUGAAGAAACCUGUCAAAGAGCUCCUUUACAUCCCAAAAUAUUGUUCACUUGCCAAAAAAAAAAAGGUUGCAUUGUGAGAAUUGGGUUCUUCUUUCUAUAAAACUAAAGAGGGCAGUUGCAAAUCAAACCAAAUAAACCAGGUUCAUAUAAACCUUCCAAAUCUGCUCCAGUCACAUUAGCUACGUGUGUGUACAGGGACGUGCAUGCACACGUGUGUGUACAGGCACCUGCACGUGUUUGCUCCUUUCUAACUUAUAUACAGGAUGGCCUUGAACGAUGUAUACUCUGUAGCGAAAAUACAAUUGAGAUUUGGGAGCGUUAGCCAACUUGUAUUUAAAAAUAGUUUUUUGAAGGAAACAAUGUUUUGACUCCAAUUAUCCAAUUCCACAAGAGAAAGCGAAGAUGUAACUAAAAGCAAAUGUCACAUAAAGGGAGCCUGCAUCAAGAAAAAGACUCCGCUUAAAGCGAAGAGCAAACUCAAUUAUAUUCCCGACACAAGGGCAGCAAAGUGAUAAAGAAUGAUUGAAAAUAAAAGACGGGCCAAUGCUAUCAAGCAAUAGACACAGAACAAUGUUUACAUCCAGCAAGCUUGAAUUCGGGACAAAACUAUUACACAAGACAAGUACGGCUGUGCUUAUAAAAAUAACUCCACGAUCAGCUCUCCCAGUAAUUAAUAGCCAUGCAUCAAAUAAGAAAUCAUCAAAAUCACAAAGCACAAGUACCAGGAAAGAAAAACACAUUUGUAAAAGAAAAUUUUAAUUUACCUCCCUCAGGUCAGAGCAAAAAAUGACUAAGGAUAUGGAUAAUAAAACAGCAAUCAGGACAAGGUAAGAUAGACUUAACUGCUAUAUAUCCAACUCCAUAAUCAGGAAACAAACUCUUUAUCUGGAAGGUAUACUAAAAAGUGACCACAAUAGAGCCCACACUGAAAUUAAAAUCUGAGUCAUCAAAUCCCUUAUAGGAAACGGCUGUGGUAUUUGCAUGGAACCUACACCCGUCCUCUCAUACUUUAAACCGUCUCCAAAAUACUUAACAUAACCAAUACGAUGUAAAUACUAUGCAAAUAGAUGCCUGCAUGGGGCACAUUCAAGUUUUGCUUUGUAAAGCUUUCUGGCAUUUUUCUCCCCCGCCCCCCAAAGUCUAGACCCCUGUGUGGGUGAACCUGCAGAGGCGGAAACCCAAGGAUAUGGAGGCCUCCUGCAAAAUCCAACCACGUGGGUUGUCUGGGAGGUUCCCCAAAAGCAGAACCUGAGAGAAGGAUGCGUUUGGGUGGGAAACUAGACAAACGCGAGGACCUGGGGAAGGGAGAGGGAGCACAAAGGAAAACCACGACACGCGAUUUUUUUGUUUUGUUUUGUUUUGUUUUGAGGCAGUCACGGGGGGCGGUGACUGGGUCUGAGCUUCGCUGGGGCCCCUCCGAAUGCACUUAAGCAUUUUUCCCAUUGAGGGAAAGGUCCGUGGGGGAUUUACCAGUGGAUCCCUGUCUCCCCUAAAUUGAAGGCCCUUCUGGAGAACACGCCCUCCGGCCUUUCUGGCUGAGCUGCAGGCCUAAGGCCGUGGAGAAACGCCUUGGGCAGCGAAGAGGAAAGGCAGAGCAGACACCAUGGACAACCGUCCUGCAGACCAGCCCAGAGGACAGAGGAACGUGUGCUGGCCAGACACCAAGGUUGCCCAGCGUCAUGCCCUUGGGGUAGUAGAUGGAUAGAGUGGAUGGAGCCAGCG